AGGACGAACGCUGGCGGCGUGCCUAACACAUGCAAGUCGAACGCGCUCCAUUCGGUAGCAAUACUGAUGAAGAGCGAGUGGCGAACGGGUGAGUAGCACGUGAGCAACCUGCCCCGAAGACUGGGACAACACCGGGAAACCGGUGCUAAUACCGGAUAUCCCUAUUGGAUCGCAUGAUCCGAUAAGGAAAUGUUUUUCGCUUCGGGAGGGGCUCGCGGCCUAUCAGCUAGUUGGUGGGGUAACGGCCCACCAAGGCAUCGACGGGUAGCUGGUCUGAGAGGACGAUCAGCCACACUGGGACUGAGACACGGCCCAGACUCCUACGGGAGGCAGCAGUGGGGAAUCUUGCGCAAUGGGCGAAAGCCUGACGCAGCAACGCCGCGUGGAGGACGAAGGCUUUCUGAGUUGUAAACUCCUUUCAGCAGGGACGAUUGUGACGGUACCUGCAGAAGAAGCACCGGCCAACUACGUGCCAGGCAGGCCG
rnacentral:rRNA from 1 species